GAUGAAGAACGUAGCGAAAUGCGAUAAUUAAUGUGAAUUGCAGAAUUCCGUGAAUCAUCGAGUCUUUGAACGCACAUUGCGCCUCAUGGCAUUCCGUGAUGCAUGCCCAUCUCAGCGUUAGAAAAUAUUCUCAAAUUUUAGUUUUGUGCUAAAAUUUGGAUCAUGUCAAGGAAGCUAUUACUAUUAUUGUGAUCGCUCUUUGGAAAUUGAUAGGUCUUUGAGUUGCUACUCAUAGAACGUGAUGAAUCUUUCUUCGUUCUAUUGUAAUUCACUCUGGUAGUCCUAAAACUUGUAUGCCUGUGGCAUAUCUUGUAAUUUGACCUGAGAUUGGGUAGGGAUACCCGCUGAACUUAAGCAUAUCAAUAAGCGGAGGA
rnacentral:misc_RNA from 1 species